UACAGAGGUCCCAAGCGUUUGUUCGGAUUCACUGGGCGUAAAGGGUGCGUAGGUGGCCAGGUAAGUUCGGUGUGAAAGCUCGGAGCUUAACUCCGAAAUGGCAUUGAAUACUAUCUGGCUAGAGGGUCGGAGGGGAGACUGGAAUUCUCGGUGUAGCGGUGAAAUGCGUAGAUAUCGUAAGGAAGACCAGUGGCGAAGGCGGGUCGCUGGACA
rnacentral:rRNA from 1 species